AACGAACGCUGGCGGCAUGCCUAAUACAUGCAAGUCGAACGAUCUCUUCGGAGAUAGUGGCGCACGGGUGCGUAACGCGUGGGAAUCUGCCCUUGGGUUCGGAAUAACGUCGGGAAACUGACGCUAAUACCGGAUGAUGACGUAAGUCCAAAGAUUUAUCGCCCAGGGAUGAGCCCGCGUAGGAUUAGCUAGUUGGUAAGGUAAAGGCUUACCAAGGCGACGAUCCUUAGCUGGUCUGAGAGGAUGAUCAGCCACACUGGGACUGAGACACGGCCCAGACUCCUACGGGAGGCAGCAGUAGGGAAUAUUGGACAAUGGGGGCAACCCUGAUCCAGCAAUGCCGCGUGAGUGAUGAAGGCCUUAGGGUUGUAAAGCUCUUUUACCCGGGAUGAUAAUGACAGUACCGGGAGAAUAAGCCCCGGCUAACUCCGUGCCAGCCGCCGCGGUAACAC
rnacentral:rRNA from 1 species